GUGCACCAGGCGCGAAAACUUUACAAUGUGCGAAAGCACGAUAAGGGAACUCUGAGUGCCUCCUAAGGAGGCUGUUCAGGUGUCUAAAAAGCACCUGAAGGAAGGGCUGGGUAAGACCGGUGCCAGCCGCCGCGGUAACACCGGCAGCCCAAGUGGUAGCCACGUUUAUUGGGUCUAAAGCGUCCGUAGCCGGCUGGGUAAGUUCCUUGGGAAAUUUGGCUGCUUAACAGUCAAGCUUUCAGGGAAUACUGCCCGGCUUGGGGACCGGGAGAGGUCAGAGGUACUCCAGGGGUAGGGGUGAAAAUCCAUUAAUCCUUAGGGGGACCACCGGUAGCGAAGGCGUCUGACCAGACCGGGUCCGACGGUGAGGGACGAAGGCUAGGGGCGCGAACCGGAUUAGAUACCCGUGU
rnacentral:rRNA from 1 species